rnacentral:rRNA from 1 species
AUUGAACGCUGGCGGCAGGCCUAACACAUGCAAGUCGAACGGAUGAAGAGAGCUUGCUCUCUGAUUUAGCGGCGGACGGGUGAGUAAUGCCUAGGAAUCUGCCUGGUAGUGGGGGAUAACGUCCGGAAACGGGCGCUAAUACCGCAUACGUCCUACGGGAGAAAGCAGGGGACCUUCGGGCCUUGCGCUAUCAGAUGAGCCUAGGUCGGAUUAGCUAGUUGGUGAGGUAAUGGCUCACCAAGGCGACGAUCCGUAACUGGUCUGAGAGGAUGAUCAGUCGCACUGGAACUGAGACACGGUCCAGACUCCUACGGGAGGCAGCAGUGGGGAAUAUUGGACAAUGGGCGAAAGCCUGAUCCAGCCAUGCCGCGUGUGUGAAGAAGGUCUUCGGAUUGUAAAGCACUUUAAGUUGGGAGGAAGGGCAGUAAGUUAAUACCUUGCUGUUUUGACGUUACCGACAGAAUAAGCACCGGCUAACUUCGUGCCAGCAGCCGCAGUAACAC